rnacentral:lncRNA from 1 species
CAAUUCAUUUGCGAGGCCAGGCCAGACCAACCUGCUUCUUUCCCCCUCUGCGCUAGCUCCAAGAUGCAUGUCUCGUCCUGGUCGAUUAACCGCGACCUCGACCACUUCGAUCCGCCGAUGCUCGGCAUCGCUACCAAGACCCACCAAUCAGUCCUUGCUUGUGUCCAUGGUGAAGAUGAAGUCGCAGAAUGCAGAUAUUGGCCAACCCACCGACCACGCGCACAUGUGUUGGCGCGGCGCCCCGGGCGUGGCCUGACUGGUGCAGCGCGCUGAACCUUCCUCGCGCGGUUCCUACACCUGCCAAGGUCAGCAACGCGUGCCUGCACUUCCUCGGCCUCUGCUUGUUCCUGCGCCUCGCUGUAAACAUCAUCAGGUGUGUAACCUGCAUACAGAAGAAAGAUUGAUAUGUGCAUGUAAAACUGAGAACCAGCAAGUCUGAUUCAAACACAAAAGAACAAGGGAAAGCUUAUGCUAUCCUGCUGAGCCACGACCGGCACUACCCCUCGCCGUUUUAGGAGGAACAGGAGAGCACGAGCAGACCACCUCGGGACGAAGACCACCUUGUCAGCCACGCAUGGAGUCGAGGAAGGCCGAGCCUAGAAUUGUGGGGGGUCGCGACGACGUAAGCAAUGUCGCCACACCGAAGAUGGGGGUUGCUAGACGAGAGACGAGAGGGGGAUAACCGGAUAAGAAACCAGGGGAUCGGAUCGUGGGCAUCUUUCGGUCAGAUCGUGGGUGGGAUGAAGGAGGAUACAGAUUCAGGGGAUGAGAGGGAUGGGGUGGGGAUCAUGAGAGCUUGUCCAUGUCUUGGGGCGGCCAUCCAUGCCGAGCGGCGGCGGCGAGGUGCCAUCGUGGUGAUGACGGGCGACGUAUUCGAGGCGCCGGCAGCGCCGGCGUUCUCGUGAUCCACGAUGGCCGCAUCUGCCCGGAUAGGCAGAUCAGCGGCGGCGGCUGCGCUGCCCGGAUCGGCAGAUCGGCUGCGGCGGCUGCGCUGCCCGGAUUGGCAGAUCGGCGGCGGCGGCGUAUCCACGGGAGAGGGGGAGGAACGGAUCGGGACCUCGUUCGGGGGAGGAGCGUUGUGUCUCG